GACAGAGGGUGCAAACGUUGUUCGGAAUUACUGGGCGUAAAGCGUGUGUAGGCGGCUUUGCAAGUCGGAUGUGAAAGCCCCGGGCUUAACCCGGGAAGCGCGCUUGAUACUGCAGGGCUUGAGUGUGGGAGAGGUGAGUGGAACUGCGAGUGUAGAGGUGAAAUUCGUAGAUAUUCGCAAGAACACCAGUGGCGAAGGCGGCUCACUGGCCCGGUACUGACGCUGAGGAGCGAAAGCGUGGGUAGCGAACAGG
rnacentral:rRNA from 1 species